rnacentral:rRNA from 1 species
UACGUAGGUGGCGAGCGUUGUCCGGAUUUAUUGGGUUUAAAGGGUGCGUAGGCGGCCCUAUAAGUCAGUGGUGAAAUAUCGCAGCUUAACUGUGAGGGUGCCAUUGAUACUGUAGGGCUUGAGUGAAUUUGAGGUAGGCGGAAUUGACGGUGUAGCGGUGAAAUGCUUAGAUAUCGUCAAGAACACCGAUAGUGAAGACAGCUUACUAGGCUUCUACUGACGCUGAGGCACGAAAGUGUGGGGAUCAAACAGG